rnacentral:rRNA from 1 species
UACGUAGGAGGCGAGCGUUGUCCGGAUUUACUGGGCGUAAAGCGCGCGCAGGCGGCAUCGUAAGUAAGGUGUGAAAUCUCCCUGCUCAACGGGGAGGGUGCCCCUUAGACUACGAAGCUAGAGGUCGGUAGAGGGGGGUAGAAUUGCUGGUGUAGCGGUGAAAUGCGUAGAGAUCAGCAGGAAUACCCGUGGCGAAGGCGGCCCCCUGGGCCGUACCUGACGCUGAGGCGCGAAGGCUAGGGGAGCGACCCGG